rnacentral:rRNA from 1 species
GACGAACGGCUGGCGGCGUGGAUUAGGCAUGCAAGUCGAACGGUAGGAUACCUUCGGGUAUCUGAGAGUGGCGAACGGGUGAGUAACACGUAGGUGAUCUACCCUCAAGAUUGGGACAACCCAGGGAAACUUGGGCUAAUACCGGAUGAAAGCAGCAGUGAUGUUGUUUGAAAGGUGGCGUAAGCUGCCGUUUGGGGAUGAGCCUGCGCUCUAUUAGUUAGUUGGCGGGGUAAAGGCCCACCAAGGCGAUGAUAGAUAGGCGGCCUUAACGGGUGGUCGCCCACACUGGGAUUGAGAUACGGCCCAGACUCCUACGGGAGGCAGCAGUCGAGAAUAGUCUACAAUGGCCGAAAGGCUGAUAGUGCGACGCCGCGUGAACGAAGAAGUCCUUCGGGGUGUAAAGUUCUUUUAUAUGUGAGCAGUGCUUUCUAUGUGAACAGCAUGGGGAGAGAGAUAUUAGCAUAUGAAUAAGCAACGGCUAACUCCGUG